UGAAAAUUGGGCUUGUGAAUUGAUUAUAAAUAACGGAUUGAAGUGAUAACAUGGCGAUACAAAUAAUAUCGGUAGGAGGACGGAAAUCGGGUCGUGGUCCUAGAAACGGACGAUAAAAUGUUGCACAGUUCAAAGUUCAACUUGGCGUGAGACAAAAUACUCCAGAGUUCUUUUUACCGCGAAUUUUGCGUCACACGUAAACAAAUUAAUUUGCGGUUAGGCAUUCGCGUUUUACGAAAAACAUAAAAAAUGAAAAUGAUUUCUAUAAAAGCGAAAAAAGACCCCGAAGAGUAUUUAGGGCCUGAAAGUACAGUAAAAUAAGUAAAUAGCCCUUUUUAUUCGCACCACAAAUUAUGUUAUCAAAAAUCGACGGCAAGGUUUGUUCGAACUUAGAUCAAAUACUAACUCUCGGAGAUUAUAAAGUAACGAAGUCCAAAGUCCGACCUGGAAGUGACAAAGAAUUCCCGCCUCGAAAAACCUUUAAAUACUAUAUCACAGUUCAAACCAAGUAUAAAUUGUAUCAAUUUUUCGAUUAUCGUUUGAUUGUGUGUACGUACCAAAACAAUGAAACAUAUAUAUAUGUAAAACAUCCUACAUGCUAAAGAGGCGCAAUUGUGCUCGAAAUACAAAAGUACGUCCCAUUUAUUACGUGAUUGUUCAAACGUAAUGUACAAAAAUGCAGAGGAAAAGGUCGGGCAAUUAUUGCAGCAUAUGACAACGGCCUUCUCUUCCAAUCCGUAAACCGGAGAGUUCUGCUUUAUGAGCGACCGAUACGCAGCAGUAAAGUUUGAAAUACAUGAGUGUAACAUAAUUAAAAGCAGAACAAAUAAUAUCGAUUUUCCAAAAAAUUAAAUUAUCUAACAAAAUAAUAUAGAAUAAAUUUUCUGUUUAAAACUAAUAAAAUGUACAGUAAAUAGUGUUUUUCUGAAUCUAAUGAGACAAUAUAUAAAUAAAUAAAAUGUAUAGUUACAAUUAAAAACGUGUUUUUUAUUUAUUUUGAUAUGAAUACUUAAUUACAGUGGUUAGUGUAAUGGGUGUCAAGUGUGUAUUGGGGUAAUAAAAUGUCAAUUAAAUAAUGACAUAUUUAAGGGAUAAUCUUAA